CUGGCCGGCAGCCUACACAUGCAAGUCGAACGGUAGCACAGAGAGCUUGCUCUCGGGUGACGAGUGGCGGACGGGUGAGUAAUGUCUGGGAAACUGCCUGAUGGAGGGGGAUAACUACUGGAAACGGUAGCUAAUACCGCAUAAUGUCGCAAGACCAAAGAGGGGGACCUUCGGGCCUCUUGCCAUCAGAUGUGCCCAGAUGGGAUUAGCUAGUAGGUGGGGUAACGGCUCACCUAGGCGACGAUCCCUAGCUGGUCUGAGAGGAUGACCAGCCACACUGGAACUGAGACACGGUCCAGACUCCUACGGGAGGCAGCAGUGGGGAAUAUUGCACAAUGGGCGCAAGCCUGAUGCAGCCAUGCCGCGUGUAUGAAGAAGGCCUUCGGGUUGUAAAGUACUUUCAGCGGGGAGGAAGGUGUUGUGGUUAAUAACCACAGCAAUUGACGUUACCCGCAGAAGAAGCACCGGCUUACUCCGUGCCAGCAGCCGCGGUAAUACGGAGGGUGCAAGCGUUUAUCGGAAUUACUGGGCGUAAAGCGCACGCAGGCGGUCUGUCAAGUCGGAUGUGAAAUCCCCGGGCUCAACCUGGGAACUGCAUUCGAAACUGGCAGGCUGGAGUCUUGUAGAGGGGGGUAGAAUUCCAGGUGUAGCGGUGAAAUGCGUAGAGAUCUGGAGGAAUACCGGUGGCGAAGGCGGCCCCCUGGACAAAGACUGACGCUCAGGUGCGAAAGCGUGGGGAGCAAACAGGAUUAGAUACCCUGGUAGUCCACGCCGUAAACGAUGUCGAUUUGGAGGUUGUGCCCUUGAGGCGUGGCUUCCGGAGCUAACGCGUUAAAUCGACCGCCUGGGGAGUACGGCCGCAAGGUUAAAACUCAAAUGAAUUGACGGGGGCCCGCACAAGCGGUGGAGCAUGUGGUUUAAUUCGAUGCAACGCGAAGAACCUUACCUGGUCUUGACAUCCACAGAACUUUCCAGAGAUGGAUUGGUGCCUUCGGGAACUGUGAGACAGGUGCUGCAUGGCUGUCGUCAGCUCGUGUUGUGAAAUGUUGGGUUAAGUCCCGCAACGAGCGCAACCCUUAUCCUUUGUUGCCAGCGGUUAGGCCGGGAACUCAAAGGAGACUGCCAGUGAUAAACUGGAGGAAGGUGGGGAUGACGUCAAGUCAUCAUGGCCCUUACGACCAGGGCUACACACGUGCUACAAUGGCGCAUACAAAGAGAAGCGACCUCGCGAGAGCAAGCGGACCUCAUAAAGUGCGUCGUAGUCCGGAUUGGAGUCUGCAACUCGACUCCAUGAAGUCGGAAUCGCUAGUAAUCGUAGAUCAGAAUGCUACGGUGAAUACGUUCCCGGGCCUUGUACACACCGCCCGUCACACCAUGGGAGUGGGUUGCAAAAGAAGUAGGUAGC
rnacentral:rRNA from 1 species